rnacentral:rRNA from 1 species
CCUACGGGUGGCAGCAGUGAGGAAUAUUGGUCAAUGGACGAGAGUCUGAACCAGCCAAGUAGCGUGAAGGAUGACUGCUCUAUGGGUUGUAAACUUCUUUUAUAAAGGAAUAAAACGAGGCACGUGUGCCUUUUUGCAUGUACUUUAUGAAUAAGGAUCGGCUAACUCCGUGCCAGCAGCCGCGGUAAUACGGAGGAUCCGAGCGUUAUCCGGAUUUAUUGGGUUUAAAGGGAGCGUAGGUGGAUUGUUAAGUCAGUUGUGAAAGUUUGCGGCUCAACCGUAUAAUUGCAGUUGAAACUGGGAGGCUUGAGUACAGUAGAGGUGGGCGGAAUUCGUGGUGUAGCGGUGAAAUGCUUAGAUAGAACGAAGAACUCCGAUUGCGAAGGCAGCUCACUGGACUGUAACUGACACUGAGGCUCGAAAGUGUGGGGAUCAAACAGGAGUAGAUACCCCAGUAGUC